rnacentral:rRNA from 1 species
GACGACGCUGGCGGCGUGCCUAACACAUGCAAGUCGAACGAGGUCCAUCUGGUGGCAACACCAGUGAAGACCUAGUGGCGAACGGGUGAGUAACACGUGAGGAACCUGCCCCGAAGACCGGGAUAACUCUCCGAAAGGAGUGCUAAUACCGGAUACCCCCACCGAGCCGCAUGGUUUGGUGAGGAAAUGGAUUCCGCUUCGGGAGGGCCUCGCGGCCUAUCAGCUAGUUGGUGGGGUAACGGCCCACCAAGGCAUCGACGGGUAGCUGGUCUGAGAGGACGAUCAGCCACACUGGGACUGAGACACGGCCCAGACUCCUACGGGAGGCAGCAGUGGGGAAUCUUGCGCAAUGGGCGAAAGCCUGACGCAGCAACGCCGCGUGGGGGAUGAAGGCUCUCGGGUUGUAAACCCCUUUCAGCAGGGACGAAUCAAGACGGUACCUGCAGAAGAAGCCCCGGCUAACUACGUG